rnacentral:rRNA from 1 species
AUUGAACGCUGGCGGCAGGCCUAACACAUGCAAGUCGAACGAGUGGCGGACGGGUGAGUAAUGUCUGGGAAACUGCCUGAUGGAGGGGGAUAACUACUGGAAACGGUAACUAAUACCGCAUACCAUCGGAUGUGCACAGAUGGGAUUAGCGAGUAGGUGGGGUAAAGGCUCACCUAGGCGACGAUCCCUAGCUGGUCUGAGAGGAUGCCCAGCCACAAUGGAACGGAGACACGGUCCAGACUCCUACGUGAGGCAGCAGUGGGGAAUAUUGCACAAUGGGCGCAAGCCUGAUGCAGCCAGGCCGCGUGUAUGAAGAAGGCCUUCGGGUUGUAAAGUACUUUCAGCGGGGAGGCGUUACCCGCAGAAGAAGCACAGGCUAACUCCGUGCAAGCAGCCGCGGUAAUUC